rnacentral:rRNA from 1 species
GUCUAUGGCCAUGCCACUCUGAACAUGCCUGAUCUUGUCUGAUCUCAGAAGCUAAGCAGGAUUGGACUUGGUUAGUACUUGAAUGGGAGACCACCUAGGAAGACCAGAUGGUAUGGGCA